rnacentral:rRNA from 1 species
CUACGUAGGGUGCAAGCGUUAAUCGGAAUUACUGGGCGUAAAGCGUGCGCAGGCGGUUUUUUAAGACCGUGGGGAAAUCCCCGGGCUCAACACGGGAACUGCCCUUGUGAACGGAAGGCUGGAGUGCGGCAGAGGGGGAUGGAAUUCCGCGUGUAGGGGGGAAAUUCGUAGAUAUGCGGAGGAACACCGAUGGCGAAGGCAAUCCCCUGGGCCUGCACUGACGCUCAUGCACGAAAGCGUGGGGAGCAAACAGGAUUAGAUACCCUGGUAGUCCACGCCCUAAACGAUGUCAACUGGUUGUUGGGGAAUUUUUUCUCAGUAACGAAGCUAACGCGUGAAGUUGACCGCCUGGGGAGUACGGCCGCAAGGUUAAAACUCAAAGGAAUUGACGGGG